UACGUAGGGGGCAAGCGUUGUCCGGAUUUAUUGGGCGUAAAGAGCGUGUAGGCGGCCACACAGGUCAGCUGUGAAAACUCGAGGCUCAACCUCGAGACGUCGGUUGAAACCGUAUGGCUAGAGUCCGGAAGAGGAGAGUGGAAUUCCCGGUGUAGCGGUGAAAUGCGCAGAUAUCGGGAAGAACACCCGUGGCGAAGGCGGCUCUCUGGGACGGUACUUACGCUGAGACGCGAAAGCGUGGGGAGCGAACAGG
rnacentral:rRNA from 1 species